rnacentral:rRNA from 1 species
UACGGAGGGGCUAGCGUUGUUCGGAAUUACUGGGCGUAAAGCGCACGUAGGCGGCUGUUCAAGUCAGAGGUGAAAGCCUGGAGCUCAACUCCAGAACUGCCUUUGAAACUAGACAGCUAGAAUCAUGGAGAGGUGAGUGGAAUUCCGAGUGUAGAGGUGAAAUUCGUAGAUAUUCGGAAGAACACCAGUGGCGAAGGCGGCUCACUGGACAUGUAUUGACGCUGAGGUGCGAAAGCGUGGGGAGCAA